rnacentral:tRNA from 1 species
ACCUGGCUGGCUCAAUUGAUAGAGCAUGUGACUCUUGAUCUUGGGGUUGUAAGUUCAAGCCCCAUGUUGGGUG